rnacentral:rRNA from 1 species
CCUACGGGAGGCAGCAGUGAGGAAUAUUGGUCAUUGGCCGCGAGCCUGAACCAGCCAAGUAGCGUGAAGGAUGACUGCCCUACGGGUUGUAAACUUCUUUUAUAAAGGAAUAAAAUGAGGCACGUUUGCCUUUUUGGAUGUACUUUAUGAAUAAGGAUCGGCUAACUCCGUGCCAUCAGCCUCGGUAAUACGGAGGAUCCGAGCGUUAUCCGGCUUUCUUGGGUUUAAAGGGAGCGUAGAUGGGUUGUUAAGUCAGUUGUGAAAGUUUGCGGCUCAACCGUAAAAUUGCAAUUGAUACUGGCAGUCUUGAGUACAGUUGAGGUAGGCGGAAUUCGUGGUGUAGCGGUGAAAUGCUUAGAUAUCACGAAGAACCCCGAUUGCGAAGGCAGCUUACUAAACUGCCACUGACAUUGAUGCUCGAAAGUGUGGGUAUCAAACAGGAUUAGAUACCCCAGUAGUC